rnacentral:lncRNA from 1 species
AACAACCAAAAGGCACAUGGAACGGAUAAGGCCAAAUGUUGAGCAACAUGUGAGUCAACACACAUUGAGCCAAGUGAAUCAUUCAAUCAUAUGUUAAAUGCUCAUUGGAUAAGUGCAACGGAUACAAUGCACGUGGAAAAAUUCAAAAUGGCUUAGCACAAAUUGAAUUCAAACGUCUCUCCCUCUCUCUCACUUACCACUUCCAUCUCCUCCGCACCCGGGGUUCCCUCGACGGCGGAGAUUUCCAUAAAUAGAAAAUUUAGUUGUGUUAGAUUGAUUGGCUGUAUCGAUUCUUCUAGUUAGUUUAAUCUGUUAGUGUAAAAAAAUACUAUUGGGAAAUUCACUAGGUUAACUGAAUCUAUUAUGCAUUCAGCUUUGCAACUUCAUGAAUUUUUGUUAGUGCAGGUGGAUACAUUCUGACUUAAACUGUUGGUGGACUUGUGGGUUGGAAAUGGUUUGCUCAUGCUCUUUUCCUUUUGAAACUCAAUGCAUGAAGAUGGUAACUGAUGUUGCAGAAGCAAUGCAGAUGGCUUGAUCAAUGGCAUCAUGGUCCAUGUGAUUAGGAUAGGUUAAGUAGUUGAUGGUAUCUUAGAUUAGACAUUAGUCUAUGUUCAUUUAGAUGUACAUUUGUAAUGUGCAGUGCAUUAUCGUGGAUUUAUGUACAUGGAUCUUUUGUAAAUGCAAGUUAGAUUUUGAAUGCAAAGUUGAC